UUGAUGGACACUUAAAUUCGUGGAAAGAGUCAUCCACGAAAACCUUGAAAAUUGUUACCCCACGAAUAAAAGUACUUUCACAGUAAUCAUGUUAAAAAGUUUUACAGUUAGGACUUUUUUAUUCAAAUCUAUGUAGGUGGGGAGAAGGGUUGUUCAAUCAAAAGCUUUGUAGUGGGGAGCAAGGGCUAUUCAACUAAAAGCAAUGAAGUGGAGAGGAAGGACUUUUCAAUUAAAAGUGAUGUUAUGGGAAGCUAUAACUGUGGAUUCAUUUAUUUUCGUGGGUAUCAAUUUUCGUGGAUUGAGGAAAACCAGCAUUUUCGUGGGUAUUUGAUUUCGUGGUUUUGUCAAUCUCUGCAUAUAAAGCCUACAGAAAAAGUGUAUUUCGUUGAACAUGUUGAACAUUUGAAUUCGUGGUUCCCCUGUACCCACGAAAACCACGAAAAACUGGUAUCCAACGAAUAAUAAUGAAUCCACAGUAUAUUAAAACAAUGCAAUGGUGAGGAAGGGCUAUUCCAUUUUAAGAAAUGUAGUAGGAAUAAAUGACUAUUCCAUUAAAAGCAAUGUAGUGACCAGGAAGUGCUAUUUCAUUAAUAGCAAUGUAGUGGGGAGCAAGGACUAGUCCAUUAAAAGCAAUGUAGUGAACAGGAAGUGCUAUUUCAUUAAUAGCAAUGUAGUGGGGAGCAAUGACUAUUCCAUUAAAAUUGAUGUAGGUGUGAAGUAAGAGACGUUUUCUACUUUUACCUGUAUUACGGACCAUUUUAUAAAUGUUUAUCACUUAAUGUGAGCAAAAAUACUUUAAGAAAUUAUGUUGGAUGUUGAAAGACUUUGAAAAUCUCUUCAUGUCUUUGCAAAUCCAUUUUAAUAAGACAUGUCUUUAUGCCUCAUAUGCUUAAAUAUCCCUAAGGAAAUUUUGAAAGUUGGAAAAAGGUAUGAAUUAUGUCAUGGGACCAAGAUCUCAUUUUCAAUUGUUUAGUUUAGUUUACAGAUGAAGGUAUAUUCAUUAUUUAUCAUGCAUGAGAGUUCAUCAAUAUUUCAGAGGUUAGUUUGUUGGAAGAAGUCAGACUUAUGCUAUACUGUAUAUGUCUGACCUCAAUUCAAUUUCAUGCUUGAAUGGUACUUGUAUGUUGCUUUUUGCAGGGCAUAAUUAAUUUCUGUCCCUAUCGAACACAUCCUCAUUUUCAGUUGCAUUGGAAAUUCCUGCUUAUCAUUAAUGUUGAUAUACUCUGCAAAAACUUUAUAUUAUAAAUACGUUCUCAUCCUAAUUAUAUAUAAAUAGCCCUGAAAUAUUUGUCACUGUGUUGAGCAACUAGUAAUCAAUCAAUCACCUCAAAUGUCCAAGUUUUUAAAGUUUUUAUUUGUCUAAAAAUAAGGAGAUUAUAAGUUAUAUGGUUCUCUACUGGCCCCUACGGAUCCAUAGAGGGUUAGUAAAAUCCAUAGAGGGUGAGGCCGCAAUAGAUUUUAUUCACCGUCUAUGGAUCCGUAGGGGGGUUAGUAGUUAACCGUAUAACGAAUUUAUCGCACGCUGGACUUUUUCUGCUGCGUUUUGUUGAAAAAUAAACAAUGUGACGUCAUGAGCCCCCCAUAAAAUUUACUAACCCCCUACGGUCUCAUAGGGGGUCGCCAUGUGACAGCGUUUAACCAAUCACAACGUGAUAAUUUACUAGCGGUGCGAUAAGUAGUAUAAUUAUCAAUGAGACAAUUGUUAACCAACGUUCAAAUGAGGUCAAUGUAAGCAAGCAUAGCAAUAGGCAACCAUACAGCCUUCAACAAUGAGAAAAACCCUUAUAGGCAACCAUACAGCCUACAACAAUGAGAAAAACCCUUAUGACAAACCAACUACAACCACUAAGGUACAGUCUCCUUGGUCUGUUGCUAUGAAACUGUGUGUGAUAGACAUACAUCAUAUGGUGUAAGAAUUCCUACAAGAUUACAUGAACACUUUGAUCUUUACCCCCAGUUUUUAGAAAUUUUUGACCUUUUGUUAAGUAUUUAAGUAUUACAACCUAGUGUUCCCAUUUGGUUAUGAUUUGUUGUAUAUUAUUCCAUUUGUUUAUGUUUUAUUGUAUAUUUUGCUAUUUGUUUUUGGUUUCAUUGUUUAUUUUGUUGUUAUAAAAUCUUCUACAUGAAUAAGAAAUAAAACCAUUUUUUUUUGUAUGAAGUGGACUGGAAAG
rnacentral:lncRNA from 1 species